GCAACCAGAAAAAGGAAAGACUUCCGGAACCGACUUUCCGGGUCCUCCAGCUCCUGCCGGAGCCUGCCGGGUGACCCAGCAGGAAGAGGGACAAAGUACUUGAUCAAGUCGACUGGGGCCCGUCUCGCACUUCCUCGCUCAGACCUCGUAUCGAUGCCACACGGGCACGAUCGCGGAGGAAAUCCUCCUGGUGUCACGGCUGAGAGAUGGGCCAGGGCCGGGCAGCUCCUGGGGAAGUCCCAGGGUUUUCACCUUCUCCUUUCUUCUACCACUGAUGGCACAACAGCUAAUCUGGGCUCCCCCUUGGAGGGCAAAGGCCAUGCAACUUCUCUGCAACGACUCCAACAAUAUGAAGGCUUGGGAAGCUGAGAGGUAGCUGUUUAGAAAAGGAACAACAAAACCCAGGACAGGGACAGGAUCCGAACACCACAAACCUUCUUAAAUAAAAAAAAUUUUAAAAACCUGGAAAUUUCUAAAGCAGCCUGAGACUAACCGGCGUCUCCAUAAGGAUCCCUUCCCCGCCCGGACGUCAUGAAAACCAGCAGCCAGUGAGAAAGAAACCCGUCUCUCCAAUCCCUGGUCCUACGCCCCACCCCCCAGUCCCAAACCCAUGCCCCGGAAGAAGCUUCAGCAUCCCCCGGAACCCAGGCUCCCAGAAGGUUCUGGUCGGCAGCAAUCGCCCAGCUACGGAGAUCAGUCCUUUUGCCCCACCGGCCUCACCCGCCCAGGAGACGACGAGUCGGUUCUGAUCCUACAGAGCUCGGUGUUCGGUAGUGGGACAGACGCUGCCUCCCUGCUGGCUGGGACUCUCAUCACUCCAGGGCCAACCGCGGGGGAGCCAGAGGGAGGGCAGAGCAUGCGGUCACAUCUUCACGGUCUGACGUCAAUGAUGGCCGCCAGGCCCAUCUGGAAGAGCCGUGGUGUCCUGGCUGGGCUCCUGGAGGCCAAAAGGCGAAUCCAGGCCCAUGGGAAAUCUCAGUAGAUGUCUCUGAAGAGAUGCAUAGAAACUUGGCUGUGUCUCUGUGCCCAGGGACUGACUCUGUCUGUGCAAGAACCUUCCCAGGCCCAUCUCAGAAAGAGGUGAAUGAGAAACCAGACCAGCUCCGCAUCAUCACCAGCCCGGGGGGCCCAGUCUGCCUGCUGCGCCCUGCCCUGCCCAGCGCCACGGUCCAGGACCGGGAAGAGUCCCCGUGUGUCCGUGCACCAAGCAAAGCAGGCCGCAGGCGCUGGGGCUUUGCUGGCGGUUUAUUCUUCCAGGGUAUCCCCCUCCCUGGACACCAGGAGAGGCCAGGGCCGCUACGGGGAGAGCACGACCCAGAGGCCCAAGCCUCCACUGGCCCCCAGCUUGGAAGUGCUGCUAGCCACUCACAGGUGUCCCUCGGCGAGAAUCACGUGCAGGGCAGGAGACCCGUAAGGAGGACGCUUGGCCAGAUGCAUAGCGGGCAGAAGGGGCAGGCCAGGCUCUGCCCGGAGCCCCACGUGCCUCCCACGCUCCCACGCAGCCAAUGAGAGGCCAGAGGAACGAGGAGAAGGGAGGUGAAAACAAGGGCGAGCUGCCUGGGACGGGUGCCAGGUGUCAGCACUCCACAAACCCAAUUCACUUUCUGCUCAACAGACC